rnacentral:rRNA from 1 species
AUGUGCAUUCAUGUUACCGAGACUUUUACUGUGGAUGAUAUAUUUCAUGACAUGCUGGAGCAGAUUACCAAACAUAGAAACUCUAACACAUUAAGUUGCCAAGAGCUGAAAAAGAAGUUGAAGCAGAAUUUGAGAGGGAAACGUUUCUUUUUGAUAUUGGAUGAUGUUUGGGUGAAGGGCAACAAUUACCAGGAACUGAAGGAGCUAUGCUCUCCAUUUGAUGUUGGGAUGAAAGGAAGCAAAAUUCUGGCGACUGCUCGAAGAGAAGAUGCAAUUCGAGCUCUAGGUGCCAAUGGACUUAUUGCAAUAUCUGAUUUGGAUGAGGACCAAUACUUCAGAAUGUUCAUGCAUUACGCACUGAAUGGUUUAAGUGUUGAUGAUCGAGAAUUUGAACCAAUUGGGAGAAAGAUUGCGGUGAAGCUACACAGAUCACCUAUUACAGCAGCAGUAGUGGGAGGACAGCUUCAUGGACAAACCAUCGCAUUUUGGAAAACAACUGCAACACUUGAUGUGUUGAAUGACACCAUGGGAGCUCUUAGGUGGAGCUAUAUGCAACUUGAUAUGGACAUCAGGCGAUGCUUUGAAUACUGCAAUAUUUUCCCUAGAAGAUUCAAACUUGAAAAGGACAAAUUAGUUCACCUGUGGAUAGACAUAGCGCAAGGGUUUGUGAAGACCGGUCGUGAAACAACGGAUAUGGAAGAUGUAGCUGAAAGGUACAUUCAUGAGUUACAGUCAUGCUCAUUUCUGCAACCAGAAGAAACUGGGUACUUUUCAAUUCAUGACUUGGUGCAUGAAUUAGCACAGACGAUCGCCGGAAGUGAUUCCUUCAGAAUCGAGAAUGCAAGUUGGCAGAGAGAAGAAAUGGAAGUAGAUGUCCCUACAGAUGCUCGACAUCUUUUUGUUCAGAAAUACGACGGAGAUUUGAUUUCUAAGAAGAUCCUUCAAAUGGAAAAUUUACGCACACUGAUCUUUUAUACUGUUGGGCGUGCGCCGGUUGAGGAAAAAGUCAUUGAGAGUAUAUUCAAGAGGCUACAGAAAUUGCGGGUACUUGCCAUAACUUUGAGUUCAGAACAUCAUGGUCGAUACAUUAAGAAACCCGACAAGAUCUCAGUCUCAGAAUCUAUCAGUCAGUUAAAGCAUCUACGCUAUCUCGCUAUACGGGCAAAAGUGGCGUGCAGGAUAAUUUUACCAAGCACACUAGCUAAACUUUACCAUAUCCAGAUGCUAGAUUUUGGUAACUGUGAAAGAAUGGAAUUGCCCACUGCUGACCUUAUCAGUAUGCGGCGUUUAUUGUUGCCAUUGACAGGCGUGAAAUUUCCUAACCUAGGCAGGUCAAAAUUGCUCCAAACGCUACCAGGCUUCACUGUAAGGGAUGAACAAGGGUGUGAGUUAAAGCAACUGAGGGACCUAAACAAGCUUCGCAGCAGUCUGUGGAUCAGGGGGCUUGAAAAUGUUCAGACCAAGAAGGAAGCUCUCGAAGCCAAUCUUGCUGCCAAGGAAAGGCUCACACAAGUGUCACUCGAGUGGCGUGCUAAUAGGAGCUGCAAUCCAGAAGUUCAAGCAGAUGUACUCGAGUGUCUUUGUCCUCCCACAUCACUUACAAAACUGAAUAUCAUGAACUACAAAGGCUCGAGUUACCCAAAAUGGAUGGUGUGCAAGCAGAACGGCGGUCCAAAGGACCUGAAAGAACUUCGGCUCACUGGGUGGAACCUCUUCUUUGUUCGCUAG